AUGUUAGCAGGUGUUGUGUUGAAGCUAAAGUUAGUAACAUACUGUGUGAUGUAAUUAUGAUGUCAUGAACUUUUAUAUAAAAAUAAAGUCUUCUAUUGAUAGUGUCAGUCCCUAUAUUGUUUUGCUCUCUUAGUCUAAUUUUACAUUUCAAUCAGGAGGUUGAUUUGAUCUUUGUGUGUUCCGUUGUUAGACCUUUCAACCUUUACCUGAAGCAGAUGUGUAUCAUCUGUCAGGCAUCAUAACCCACAGGAUUGAUCACAGCUCUCUACCUUUUGGACUUUCUGCAUCGCGAGAUAGACAGCAUAAUGUACAUGUCACUGCAGUAUUUUGAUAGUCUUUCCAAUUCAUUAGGUGGGAGCCUUGGACCCUUAAUAGUGUCUAUGGUAUUGUGAAUAUCCUGCAACAGCUAUGGAGUCACUGUGAGUAAUAGUAAAGCAGUACUUUAAAGGGGUAGCCAUGUGGGGGGUGAUUGCUUUCCCUGCCCAUUCCUAAAUGAAACUCGCUAGAAAAUUGCAUAGGAUCCUCUUGAGCCUUAAAAAUGUAUGGGUACUAAAGACCUUGAUAAACACAGGUGUCCAUGUAAUUCAGACAUUCAAGUCAACAAACGUUAUCAACCACUAUCUUCCAAUUUUAGAGGUAUUUUGUAUUUUAUUCUGGUUAUGUGUACAUUUAAUUAAUUCUUGGGUAUACAGUUGUGUUAUAUAGCACUCAGUAUGGUCACAACAUGUGCAGACAUAUUCUGAACCUAAAACAUUAAAACAUUCAAUGUGUUACAUAUGUACAUUCCUGUAGUACCAGUUUUAAUUUUCUUCAUGGUUUUCCUUGAAAGGUCA